rnacentral:rRNA from 1 species
GAGUUUGAUCUUGGCUCAGGACGAACGCUGGCGGCGUGCCUAACACAUGCAAGUCGAACGGAGAUAUUCGGAGCUUGCUUUGGAUAUCUUAGUGGCGGACGGGUGAGUAACGCGUGAGUAACCUGCCUCUCAGAGGGGGAUAACGUUCUGAAAGAACGCUAAUACCGCAUGAUAUUGCGAAACCGCAUGGUUUUGCAAUCAAAGGAGCAAUCCGCUGAGAGAUGGACUCGCGUCCGAUUAGCCA